rnacentral:rRNA from 1 species
AACGUAGGAGGCGAGCGUUAUCCGGAUUCACUGGGCGUAAAGCGCGUGCAGGCGGUUCGGUAAGUUGGGCGUGAAAUCUCCUGGCUCAACUAGGAGAGGUCGUUCAAUACUACCGGGCUAGAGAGUGGUAGAGGAAGAUGGAAUUCCCGGUGUAGUGGUGAAAUGCGUAGAUAUCGGGAGGAACACCAGUGGCGAAGGCGAUCUUCUGGACCAUUUCUGACGCUCAGACGCGACAGCUAGGGUAGCAAACGGG